CCUACGGGAGGCAGCAGUGAGGAAUAUUGGUCAAUGGGCGCAAGCCUGAACCAGCCAAGCCGCGUGAAGGAUGACUGUCCUACGGGUUGUAAACUUCUUUUAUAAAGGAAUAAAGUGAGGCACGUGUGCCUUAUUGUAUGUACUUUAUGAAUAAGGAUCGGCUAACUCCGUGCCAGCAGCCGCGGUAAUACGGAGGAUGCGAGCGUUAUCCGGAUUUAUUGGGUUUAAAGGGUGCGUAGAUGGGAUGUUAAGUCAGUUGUGAAAGUUUGCGGCUCAACCGUAAAAUUGCAAUUGAUACUGGCAGUCUUGAGUACAGUUGAGGUAGGCGGAAUUCGUGGUGUAGCGGUGAAAUGCUUAGAUAUCACGAAGAACUCCGAUUGCGAAGGCAGCCUACUAGACUGCAACUGACAUUGAUGCUCGAAAGUGUGGGUAUCAAACAGGAUUAGAUACCCUUGUAGUC
rnacentral:rRNA from 1 species